CUGCAAAAGACUGCAGUUGUGAAUAAUGGCCUUCUGAACGUGUACGCAGAUAGAUAGAUAGAUAGAUAGAUAGAUAGAUAGAUAGAUAGAUAGAUAGAUAGAUAGAUAGAUAGAUAGAUAGAUAGAUAGAUAGAUCAAAAUGGAAAGCACCAAAGGCCAAAUAGGUGGUCACCUCAAAUAUUUCACACUACCAGCGCUCAGUUUCCUGUAGACGGUCACAUGAGUAAAAAUAGAGUACCUUCCUCUGUAACAGUCUGUGAUGACUUCAGGCAGCACAGGACCAAACUGUACCAUUAGCACAGCUGAACAUAAUGGAUCAACCACUUGAUAUUUAUGCUAAUGUCCAGAGACUCUCAGAUAUUCCCAGCAAGAGGGAAAGGGAGACACAAAUUUCAGAAAAUAUUUAUGAAAAUCUGGAGCCAAAGAGAACAAGAGCUGCAGGUAAUGAACACAUGGUUACUUGUAUGUUUUUGUUUUUUACACACAGGCACACACAAACAGAAUAAACUGUCUAUAGGAAUACCAAUGCUGAUGACUAAGGACACAAUGACUUGUUUGAGAAACAAUAAUUUUGAGAAAGACAGCCAGCCACAAAGACUGUUAAUGGUUUGAACUGAAGAAUUGAAGAAGAACAGAGGGCAUGAAGAAAUUAAGGCUAUGUAAAUGUGUGCUUGAAUAUAUUUAUGUUGACUCAUACAAAUAUAUGUUUUAUACUUUUGGAUGGUUGCAUUUCAAUUGGUGACUUUUGCGCCUUUGAAUAUUAGUAAAACCAUCCAAGCACCCCAAACAUUGCUCUGGCUUUCGAGUUCAGUUCAUGGAUCAUUUCACUGUCUGUAACAUGUUGUAUUAUGAGAAGCGACAAUACAAAGACAAACAUUGCAUCUUUCCUUCAGGUGCUGGAAAGGUAACAAAGAGUUCCUGCAGAGCUGCUGCAGUAUGUCUGGGUCUGCUGUGUAUUCUCCUCGUGAUCGGACUCAUUACUCUGGUUUUCCUAUUUACCAAGAGCAACUCUCAGUGGGAAAUGGAAAUGAUCCAGUUACGGACCAGCUACAACAACCUGACUGAAGAAAAAGACCAACUGACUACAGAAAAAGACCAACUGACUACAGAAAAAGACCGACUGACUACAGAAAAAGACCGACUGACUACAGAAAAAGACCAACUGACUACAGAAAAAGACCGACUGACUACAGAAAAAGACCAACUGACUACAGAAAAAGACCAACUGACUACAGAAAAAGACCAACUGACUACAGAAAAAGACAAACUGACUACAGACCAACUGACUAAAGAAAAUGACAAACUGACUAAAGAAAAAGCUGCAAUAAAACAAGCCCUGACCGACGAUGAGACUGAUCUUCAGAGAAAGCUUUAAGACAGCCAACCAGUCAGCAGACAGAAGAGGAGGAGGAAGAGGAGGAGGAGGAGGACAGUCACUUCCAACAGCACACGCCAUCUUUAAACAGAAACAGGAGAGAUCUGAUUUCCCACCCAAACUAACUGUUAUCAUGUGACCACAAUCUCAUACCUAAAUAAGAUGAUAACAACUAAAUCCUCAUCUGCUGACGAAGGCAAGAUGUGCAAGAGGUGGUUAAAAGCUUCAGAAACAAGUUGGACCUUGUACUGAGGUUUAUGGUUCAAAAACAACGGCAGCUGUGGUCUUGUAUUUCAGACAGGUGAUGAAGAGUUGUCAGAAACCCCCAGUUCAACUUUUAAGUACAUCAUAUAUUUUUUCACCAUUUACUGUUAUAACCUAAGAUGUUGAAACAUUUAGCAACAUUUUUAUAUCAUAUUGCAAUAAUGCAGUUUAUUGCUUUUACUGUUUGUAGAUAUCGUACAACUUAUUAUUGGUAAUGAAAUAUUCAAGCUGUGUACAUUUAGUCUCUGAGUCAUUGUUUGUUUUGUCUUGUUUCCAAAGAGAACAUCUUCACACCAUCUCAAGUUAAAAUAAUGAUGACACCACUGACCUUUACUUGAUAUUUUCAUCUUACUGCAGUGACAAACUGUUUGUUUGUGGUCAGAUCUCUUCCCGUGUCAUAUAGAGUCAUGUAGCUCCUGUUGUAGAGGCAAAUAUAUUCUCUGAAUCACCUUAAAUACUCUUAACCCUUGUGUAGUCUACGGGUCCUUUUAGACCAGAAAUCAUACCAUUAUUAAAGGUUAACUUUCAUAGAAUUGCUUGAAAUUUUCAGGAAUUGUGUCCCUCUGCAUCCUUUAUAAAAAAAAUAAAUUUCAACUUUCUUCAUAAAUUUA